AUGGCGGGAAAUGAGGGCGGGAAAAGGCGGGUCUUGACCCCCCGGAUCAUCCCGAUAUUCCCUUUUCUACCCCUGAUGGAGUCCGGGGGUGACCUCAAGGCCCCGGGGGAGUCCCUGCAGCUCCUCUGCCGCACCUCCGGCUUCACCUUCAGCAGCUACGGAAUGUUCUGGACGCGCCAGAGCCCCGGGAAGGGGCUGGAAUACGUCGCAAGUAUCGACAGCAGUGGUGGUUACACCAACUACGCGCCGUCGGUGCGGGGCCGGUUCACCAUCACCAGGGACAACGGGCAGGGCACGGUGACGCUGCAGAUGAACAACCUCAAGGAGGAGGAUUCCGCCACCUAUUUCUGCGCCAAAAGUGCUUAUGCUGAUCCUGGUUAUGGUGGUGUUUAUGGUAUCGACCCCCUUGGCGGGGUCCCCACCUGUCCCCAAACCCCAGACCCUCCCCCCAAACCUCCACCCUUCGCACCCAGCUCUCGGUCGUUGGUCGCGGCCCUGGACUGGUUUUGCCUCCAAAUCUCAACCAUCGACCCUGAAUCUCCAACUCUUUGCCCCAAAUCUCAAAUGUUUUGA